CCAGACUCCUACGGGAGGCAGCAGUGGGGGAUAUUGCACAAUGGGGGAAACCCUGAUGCAGCGACGCCGCGUGGGUGAAGAAGCGCCUCGGCGCGUAAAGCCCUGUCAGCAGGGAAGAAAAUGACGGUACCUGACUAAGAAGCCCCGGCUAACUACGUGCCAGCAGCCGCGGUAAUACGUAGGGGGCAAGCGUUAUCCGGAUUUACUGGGUGUAAAGGGAGCGUAGGCGGUUUAGCAAGUCAGAAGUGAAAGCCCGGGGCUCAACUCCGGGACUGCUUUUGAAACUGUUGAACUAGAUUGCAGGAGAGGUAAGUGGAAUUCCUAGUGUAGCGGUGAAAUGCGUAGAUAUUAGGAGGAACACCAGUGGCGAAGGCGUCUUACUGGAUCGAAACUGACGUUGAGGCUCGAAAGCGUGGGGAGCAAACAGGAUUAGAUACCCGGGUAUG
rnacentral:rRNA from 1 species